rnacentral:rRNA from 1 species
AGGCCUAUGGCUAUCACGGGUACGGGGAUCAGGGUUCGAUUCCGGAGAGGGAGCCUGAGAAACGGCUACCACAUCUAAGGAAGGCAGCAGGCGCGCAAAUUACCCACUCCCGGCACGGGGAGGUAGUGACGAAAAAUACUGUUGCGAGCCCCGAACGGGGCCUCGCAAUUGGAAUGAGUACACUUUAAAUCCUUGUACGAGGAUCGAGUGGAGGGCAAGUCUGGUGCCAGCCGCCGCGGUAAUUCCAGCUCCACUAGCGUAUAUUAAAGUUGUUGCGGUUGAAACGCUCGUAGUUUGACUUCUGCUCCGGACCGGCGGUCCGCCUUAGCGGCGGCUACUGCCGGGUUCCGAGCUGUGUCCCCGCCGGCGCACAUGGGGUUUUUAUGCCCUUAACCGGGUGUCCCCUUGUGGCCGGCACGUUUACUUUGAAAAAAUUAGAGUGCUCAGAGCAGGCUGGUUUUUGCUUACAGCCCGAAUGGUCGUGCAUGGAAUGAUGGAACAGGACCUCGGUUCUAUUUUGUCGGUUUUUCGGAACCCGAGGUAAUGAUUAAUAGAAGCAGACGGGGGCAUUCGUACUGCGACGCUAGAGGUGAAAUUCUUAGAGCGUCGCAUGACGACGUACUGCGAAAGCAUCUGCCAAGGAUGUUUUCAUUGAUCAAGAACGAAAGUUAGAGGUUCGAAGGCGAUCAGAUACCGGCCUAGUUCUAACCUUAAACGAUGCUGACUAGCGAUCCGCCGCAGUUAUUCGCAUGACGCGGCGGGUAGCUUCCGGGAAACCAAAGUCUUUGAGUUCCGGGGAAGAAGUUU